rnacentral:rRNA from 1 species
UACGGGGGGGGGCAAGCGUUGUUCGGAAUUACUGGGCGUAAAGGGCGCGUAGGCGGCCUGCUAAGUCGGAUGUGAAAUCCCCUCGGCUCAACCGAGGAACUGCAUCCGAUACUGGCGGGCUUGAAUCCGGGAGAGGGAUGUGGAAUUCCAGGUGUAGCGGUGAAAAUGCGUAGAUAUCUGGAGGAACACCGGUGGCGAAGGCGGCAUCCUGGACCGGUAUUGACGCUGAGGCGCGAAAAGCUAGGGGGAGCAAACGGGG